GGAAAGGAAAGUUGCACGAGGAAAAGAGUCUAAAUCUCAUAGUGCAUUAUUAUAUGCCUUAAAUGUAUGGUAAACUUGUGCAUGUUUGUUUAUUUUUUAUAAUUCAAAUAAGAACUUGUGUAAUGUGAAUAAAACUUAUGUGCUUAGUCCAAGUAGGCUACAAUUGUUUUAUAAUAAAAUUAAUGGAUUUGUAUGCUUUCUUUGAGAAAAGAUUUGUAUACCGUAUG
rnacentral:lncRNA from 1 species